GAUGAACGCUGGCGGCGUGCCUAAUACAUGCAAGUCGAGCGAACAGACGAGGAGCUUGCUCCUCUGACGUUAGCGGCGGACGGGUGAUUAACACGUGGAUAACCUACCUAUAAGACUGGGAUAACUUCGGGAAACCGGAGCUAAUACCGGAUAAUAUAUUGAACCGCAUGGUUCAAUAGUGAAAGACGGUUUUGCUGUCACUUUUAGAUUGAUCCGCGCCGCAUUAGCUAGUUGGUAAGGUAACGGCUUACCAAGGCGGCGAUGCGUAGCCGACCUGAGCGGGUGAUCGGCCACACUGGAACUGAGACACGGUCCAGACACCUACGGGAGGCAGCAGUAGGGAAUCUUCCGCAAGGGGCGAAAGCCUGACGGAGCAACGCCGCGUGAGUGAUGAAGGUCUUCGGAUCGUAAAACUCUGUUAUUAGGGAAGAACAAAUGUGUAAGUAACUAUGCACGUCUUGACGGUACCUAAUCAGAAAGCCACGGCUAACUACGUG
rnacentral:rRNA from 1 species